CGGCUCGGCUCGGCUCGGCGCGCACUUACUCCGCGGGGCCUCCGGGGCGGUGUUGCGGGCCCGGCGGCUCCCCAGGAGCGGCGCCCGGUGACUUAGGGUGUUGUUAGCGAGGAAAGGAUGGGCCCUGAGGAAUCCCGGCUUCCUGCGGCGCUGCCGAAACGUCAGGGACGGCUGCAGGUUACACACCCCCAAGCCUAGCUGGCGGCUCCGUCACUGCCUUGGCAGCGCCGGGGCGCAGGGCAGGCAGUCGGGAGGGUACCGGCAGCAUCCCCCAGCCGCAGGGGCUUGUCUGACACCGCUCUUCACCGCGCUGGGAAAUCCAUCGCUGCCCUUCUUGGCGAAGGCACAGAAUGAGUCAAGGUGUCAAGGACUGCGUGGGAAUGCUGCACUGGGAGAAGUGCUGUGCUGUGCAUAUGGCACCUGACCCCGCAGACCUCGGAUCAUCUGUAAAAUCCGAGCUUGUAUGCAUCCACCUCUCCUCAUUAGCCAUGAAGAGAGAAAGCAUGGGUCAGAUUCCUUGUGGCUUAUAGUCUAGGUACGAAGUCACCGCAGAACAGUUGUAGAACAUUCUCUUUGCUUCCCCAUACUGGAGACGUGAACUUAGAACCUGCAUGAAGCACGGGCACCCUAGUAUAACGUGCAUUAAUGCCCUGCUCAGUUUGGCAACCUGGCCCACACAUGGAAGCAAGCAUAACUGCUGAAUAUUUUUGUUUUUACUUGUACUGUAAUUACAAACACUGCAGCCAGACCUUCUCCUUCCUUUCUUCUUCCUUAAACCAGAAGAAAAAAAAAGUUGCCAUUUCUUCAAGCUCUUCUAUUCCACUUCUUUUUCUUCAGUACGUACUCUUCCACUGUUUACUUUUCCAGCUCUUCUCAGUGUCCUUGUAUGCCAAUUUUCAGAAAGUAAAAAACAUAUCUCCAGAUUUAGAGAAACUGAAAUUAUGUUCCCACAAGCAUUUAUGAUCUUCCUUAACUUUAUAUAUACAAUCCAUGCCAUUUAAAUCACUCAGAUAUCUAGUCCUAAGGACCCAAGUAACAUGGAAGACAUUCUUACUUUUUAACAGUUUUAAGGGUUUCUUCCCCCACUUGUUUCUUCUCCAGUGUAACAGUCCUGUAAAUUAAAGGGUGAGAGUUAAUUAAAAUGUCAUGCAUGGGGCCAUGUACAAACAGACAAACAGAGAUCGAGUCCACAUUCUUUUGAUCUUAAAUGAAUCCACUGGGCUGUACUUUGACUUGCCAAAUAUGGGAUGUCUAUAUGUAUAUAUUCUUUUAAUUUUUCAUUAUACUACUUCUACUUCAACAUAAUUUUAAUAUAUUAAACAGAGUUUACUCUAAUUCCCAUUAAAUUUACCUUGACCCACAAUGAUUGGAAAUAAUGGAUUUUUAUUCUGCAAGGAAGCAGAUUAAAUUGCCCUAACAUACUUGAGGGGAGAAUGUCAUCUAUGGGUUGUAAAAAUUGUCAUUCACAGGUUAUAAGAAAGCCUCGAGAAAGGUGAAGUCACAGGUCCACUUGCUCCCUUCUAGUGGAAUAUGAAAUGGAGAAGAGCGUAUGUGGAUCCAUAAAAAUCUCUGAAAGCAAAAUGAAAAACAGCAUCUCUGCAACAUACUUUGUCCUGGACUCAUGGGAUAGACAUGUGCAGCCUAAAUUCUACACUGUACAGAGCGGUUUCUUCAGAAAUUUACAGUCUUUGAACAGGUUGUUGACUGUCCACUCUAUGAUGAAGCCUUUCUUCAAAGUCAGGUGUAAGGCUAAACAUAUGUCCGAAUUCUGUCCUUUUUCACCUAGAAACCUUGUUGAUAAAAAAAUUCAAAGAUUCACAUUUCCUAGGUAUUUACUAAUUUUGAACAAGUAGUAGAGUAUUCAAAAGUUAUACACAAACCUAAAAUAUUUAAGGUCUCUGCUGGAGCACAUCUAAGUCCCGAGGGAUGCUCUUAUUUUUGGGUUGGAUACCUCAGAAUAAAAUGUGAACGUCAGUUCCAGUGUGAGGGUAAAUGUUGCACAGGCAUGUAAGAGUGCUGGCAAUGCAGCCCUAAGAAGGACUGUGCUCUCAUGAGAGCCAUGAACCUACCUUAUGAAGUAAAAGAGCAGAUCUCCUUCCUAUAGGAAACCUUGGACACUAUGGUGAUAAGUGAUGUGGGUUGCCUUAGGUUUGGCUUUACAGUGUUUCUGUUGGCUUUCCCCUUCUGCAGGAUUUUGAGCUGUUAUGUUGUGAGAAGAAUCAAGUGAAGCCUAUAUAAGAGUUGGGCACUGAGUAAAAAAUCAACAUAAUUACCAUUCACAAUAGGUGAUUGAUAAACACAGCUUAUACAUCAAAAUGUUUAAAAUAGCAGUCAGAUCGCCAUCCUGCUUCCUAGAGUCCAGUCUCAUGAGUCGUCAAGCAUCUGCUGUUGCCACUGGAGUAAAACCCAGUUGUGAAAACUCUCCCACACUAAGAGCUGUCAGGUCACUUGCUGCCAUUAUCCCCUUACCUGGAAUAGAAACCUCCAAAAUGUUACGUGACUUACUCGACUGAUAGCGUCAUCUAAAACCAGUGUGGGUCUUCCUUGUGUAGCUAAUGAAUUUCUGUAGGAAUACUAAGAAAGCAUAUUAGGACUGACAGCUCAGAGCCCUGAAAUUCGAAAGACCAAUGCCUUUGAGAACUGACAGUAGCUCCAAGGUAAACAGUUUCUUUUCUGUUAUUCUUUCACUCCUCAAAAUAAGCACGUCUCCAGCUCUGAGAGCUCCUGGCAGGUAUGAUGAAUGGCAAAUCCUAAUGAAGCCCAUGGUUUGGCCAGUGUUAGGACUUAGCACUCUUUACAAAUUCUCAUCUGAAGCAGGAGUAUCAGGAGCCAAUUUCUUGAACAUAAUUUAUUCCAGACACUAGCUGGAAUAAACAGCAUUCUGUAACCUCCUCAGAUACUUUGGCAGUAGGGAGCUGUCUUUAUACUUCUUUCAAUUGAGUGAUCCAAAUAUGAAAUUCAUUGCUCAAGAACACAGCAUGGUUUUACAGACUCAAGUAUUUGAUUUCAUUACUGGGGACAUUGUUGUGUCAUAUCAGUGUGGCAUUUUCAUUAUGUGUCGGGUCUGCUAGAGCAUGCUGCUUACCUUGCCCUGAUGAGAAAAAAAUUCCAGCACUUGGAUUUAACUUUCUAGAAGCAACUUAAGCAUACAUUCAGUUUCUAAAAUAUGUUUUACUUAAGUAUCAUACUAGAAAAGGAGUAUAAAAUGGGACCUCCUUAGUCAGUAGACAUCCUUUUGUCUGCCUCAGAGUCUUUUCAGAUUCCUUCAGUCACAGAUGGGCAUUAUGUUAUGAACAAAAGCACUGCCAUGAGUAUAAACCUCACUUAUCCAUGCAAAGAAGGACAAAUAAAACUGAGCUUUUCAGUUCCAGGGUCAGAUGCCAUCCACAGCUACAUCUAGAUGUAAUUAAAAGCAAAAUUUUUAUUACUAUGAAAAAAUACAAGAUUCAAAUGGUGUGUAGUAGCUUCUAAUGGAACCUGAGACAGAUGCUACUGGGAUCCCGUACAAACUGGCACCCAUAAUGCCAUGUUGGCAAGCCACAUAUAACAGACCUUCACCUACUCCUUUAGAAGAUCCAGGAGAAGACAAAUAACAAAUAGUCCAUUCAAACAUUAAUCUAUCUCUUCUAACUCUUGGUUAUGUUUUCUUUAACUCCCCAAAAGAAACCAUUUUCAUCUGUAAUGUUUAUGUUUUCAACACCUCCAAUAUUUGUUAUCUUCCAUGUGAUGUGAUGAUUUAAAUAUAAUUUUAAAUAUUUCUCCCUCUGCUGUGCUGCUCAUUCCCCCCUCCCCCCAAUACUCCAUUACUUUGUCAUUAUCUUCUUGAUAAGGAGUUGUCUGAAACUAAUGACAAUGGAGGGAGAUGGGGAAAACAGCAACUUAGCAUUGUGUGGAGGAGCAGAUAAGAUAUCUUCCGGAUUCAUAAUCUGCUAAUUGUGUGUCUGCAGAUAAAAACUUCCCACAGCUCCCCAGGUCACUGAUGGAAGUCCCUCAGACUUCCAGUGAGUUUUGAGCACUUUUUUUUUUCAGUAUCUGGAGAUAAUUUUUUAAUGCUUUCUAAGAUCUAAUACUGUAGACACUUGUGUUUGUAAUUUUAAUGAAACUACCCACCGAGCUAUUUAUGAAUACAUGGAUUUACAGAGGUUUCCUUCAUGAAAUAACUGGCUAAAACCAGAUUAUAAAGUAGAUUAUCAAUGUAAUCCUACUUUGUAUUUUAAACUGUCUGGUAAUUUUGAUUUUGCCGUAGUUCAUUAAGAUUUUAAAAAUUAAUAUUCCACGUGCAGUGGAAUAAUACCCUUAGCUUUGCUCUCUCCACAUUUGUGGAUGAGGUUCUUCAUCAAUAAAGGCCUGAAAUGAGAAACCUGUGUACAUAACACAGGUAUGAAUGGGAGGCUGAACCAUUCAGAGUGACAAUCCUUUUGUUUAAUGUCAUAUUCUACAAACAUGGACUUGUGCAUUACUGUACAUGAGACCACUUGAGAAAGUAGUUAAGUACAGUCACUAUUGUAAAUUUCAGGUACAGAAGUUUAAUUAAAGGUGUUCUAUUUUGGGAUCUUGGAAAACCUGUAUAUAUUUCAUGUUCCUCAUUUUCCUUUAGAAUAUUAUGGCUUGAUUCAGCUCCUAGCAGUCCGAGAGGCUGGUCCGUGUAAUUUAACCACUUUGCUGACAAUGUAAGUCUUGCUUAUCUGUCAUUACUAUAUCCUCACUAAGAUCAAUAAAGAAAAUUUCUCAAUAUA